ACUCUACUUACUUUGUCUUCCUUUGAGAGCAGCACAUGAAAGCAUCAGAGGAAAACCUAAGCUCGAUUAAACUAUAAAACGGUCUCUCUACUCUGUGAUACUUGAGCUUAAAGUUCAUCGUUGAUCCGAACACAACAGACCCAAACCCCGCAUCAGAUCUGUAAAUACAAGACGUGAUGGUGACUGUUCAAAGCGUGCCGUACAAUAAAGCGGAAGCCGGGGAUCAAGGUUUUGCCGACGGCAACAAGACGCAUGAGAGGAUGAUUCGACGUCGUGGCGGAGAUUGGCUACCCCUCCUCUCCUCCUGCACACUGUACACGAAGCUGUUGUGUAAAGAUUUAAUGGAGGAUGAGACAAAACAGAAGACUGUGGCGAAGUACAUUGGGCAGCCUUUCUCAGCUCUAUUCUCGUUGUAAGUGCCUCCUCCCUCUCUCUCUCUCUC